rnacentral:rRNA from 1 species
UACGUAGGGUGCAAGCGUUAAUCGGAAUUACUGGGCGUAAAGCGUGCGCAGGCGGUUUUGUAAGUUUGUCGUGAAAGCCCCGGGCUCAACCUGGGAAUUGCGAUGAAGACUGCAAGGCUUGGAUCUGGCAGAGGGGGGUAGAAUUCCACGUGUAGCAGUGAAAUGCGUAGAGAUGUGGAGGAACACCGAUGGCGAAGGCAGCCCCCUGGGUCAAGAUUGACGCUCAUGCACGAAAGCGUGGGGAGCAAACAGG